GCAGCCGCCGCGGGAAUACAGAGGGUGCGAGCGUUAAUCGGAUUUACUGGGCGUAAAGCGUGCGUAGGCGGCUAAUUGAGUCGGAUGUGAAAUCCCCGAGCUUAACUUGGGAAUUGCAUUCGAUACUGGUUAGCUAGAGUGUGGGAGAGGAUGGUAGAAUUCCAGGUGUAGCGGUGAAAUGCGUAGAGAUCUGGAGGAAUACCGAUGGCGAAGGCAGCCAUCUGGCCUAACACUGACGCUGAGGUACGAAAGCAUGGGGAGCAAACAGGAUUAGAUACCCCGGUAGUCCCUGUCUCUUAUAC
rnacentral:rRNA from 1 species